UACGAAGGGGGCUAGCGUUGCUCGGAAUCACUGGGCGUAAAGGGUGCGUAGGCGGGUCUUUAAGUCAGGGGUGAAAUCCUGGAGCUCAACUCCAGAACUGCCUUUGAUACUGAAGAUCUUGAGUCCGGGAGAGGUGAGUGGAACUGCGAGUGUAGAGGUGAAAUUCGUAGAUAUUCGCAAGAACACCGGUGGUGUAGACGGCUAUCUGGACCGUAACUGACGCUGAGGCACGAAAGCGUGGGUAGCAAACAGG
rnacentral:rRNA from 1 species